rnacentral:rRNA from 1 species
GACGAACGCUGGCGGCGUGCUUAACACAUGCAAGUCGAACGAGACGAUUGAAAGCUUGCUUUCGAAAGUCGAGUGGCAAACGGGUGAGUAACGCGUAGACAACCUGCCUUUGAGAUGGGGACGACAGUUCGAAAGGACUGCUAAUACCGAAUGUUGUAUAUUUUCCACAUGGAAGAUAUAUUGAAGAUGGCCUCUAUUUAUAAGCUAUCGCUCAAAGAUGGGUCUGCGUCUGAUUAGCUGGUUGGUGGGGUAACGGCCUACCAAGGCGACGAUCAGUAGCCGGUCUGAGAGGAUGAACGGCCACAUUGGGACUGAGACACGGCCCAGACUCCUACGGGAGGCAGCAGUGGGGAAUCUUCCACAAUGGACGAAAGUCUGAUGGAGCAACGCCGCGUGAGUGAAGAAGGGUUUCGGCUCGUAAAGCUCUGUUGUCGGGGACGAAUGUGCAGUAUUUGAAUAAAGUACUGUAAUGACGGUACCUGACGAGGAAGCCACGGCUAACUACGUGCCAGCCGCCGCCGUAA